rnacentral:rRNA from 1 species
GCACAAGCGGUGGAGCAUGUGGUUCAAUUCGACGCAACGCGAAGAACCUUACCCAGGCUUGAACAGCGAGUGACAAACUACGAAAGUGGUCUUCCGCAAGGACACUCGUAGAGGUGCUGCAUGGCUGUCGUCAGCUCGUGUCGUGAGAUGUUGGGUUAAGUCCCGCAACGAGCGCAACCCUUGUCUUCUGUUGCCAUCAGGUCAAGCUGGGCACUCUGGAGAGACUGCCGGUGAUAAACCGGAGGAAGGUGGGGAUGACGUCAAGUCAGCAUGGCCUUUAUGUCUGGGGCUACACACGUGCUACAAUGGCCGACACAAACCGUCGCAAAACCGCGAGGUGGAGCUAAUCGGAGAAAGUCGGUCUCAGUUCGGAUAGCAGGCUGCAACUCGCCUGCUUGAAGUUGGAAUCGCUAGUAAUCGCGGAUCAGCACGCCGCGGUGAAUACGUUCCCGGGC